rnacentral:rRNA from 1 species
CUGGCGGCAGGCCUAACACAUGCAAGUCGAGCGGUAGAGAGAAGCUUGCUUCUCUUGAGAGCGGCGGACGGGUGAGUAAUACCUAGGAAUCUGCCUGAUAGUGGGGGAUAACGUUCGGAAACGGACGCUAAUACCGCAUACGUCCUACGGGAGAAAGCAGGGGACCUUCGGGCCUUGCGCUAUCAGAUGAGCCUAGGUCGGAUUAGCUAGUUGGUGAGGUAAUGGCUCACCAAGGCUACGAUCCGUAACUGGUCUGAGAGGAUGAUCAGUCACACUGGAACUGAGACACGGUCCAGACUCCUACGGGAGGCAGCAGUGGGGAAUAUUGGACAAUGGGCGAAAACCUGAUCCAGCCAUGCCGCGUGCGUGAAGAAGGUCUUCGGAUUGUAAAGCACUUUAAGUUGGGAGGAAGGGCAGUAAAUUAAUACUUUGCUGCUUUGACGUUACCGACAGAAUAAGCACCGGCUAACUCUGUGCCAGCAGCCGCGGUAAUACAGAGGGUGCAAGCGUUAAUCGGAAUUACUGGGCGUAAAGCGCGCGUAGGUGGUUUGUUAAGUUGAAUGUGAAAUCCCCGGGCUCAACCUGGGAACUGCAUCCAAAACUGGCAAGCUAGAGUAUGGUAGAGGGUAGUGGAAUUUCCUGUGUAGCGGUGAAAUGCGUAGAUAUAGGAAGGAACACCAGUGGCGUAGGCGACUACCUGGACUGAUACUGACACUGAGGUGCGAAAGCGUGGGGAGCAAACAGGAUUAGAUACCCUGGUAGUCCACGCCGUAAACGAUGUCAACUAGCCGUUGGGAGUCUUGAACUCUUAGUGGGCGCACUAACGCAUUAAGUUGACCCCCUGGGGAGUCCGGCCCCAAGGUUAAAACUCAAAUGAAUUGACGG